UACGUAGGGGGCAAGCGUUGUCCGGAUUUAUUGGGCGUAAAGAGCGUGUAGGCGGCCAUACAGGUCAGCUGUGAAAACUCGAGGCUCAACCUCGAGACGUCGGUUGAAACCGUAUGGCUAGAGUCCGGAAGAGGAGAGUGGAAUUCCCGGUGUAGCGGUGAAAUGCGCAGAUAUCGGGAAGAACACCCGUGGCGAAGGCGGCUCUCUGGGACGGUACUGACGCUGAGACGCGAAAGCGUGGGGAGCCGAACAGG
rnacentral:rRNA from 1 species